GAUGAACGCUGGCGGCGUGCCUAAUACAUGCAAGUCGAGCGAAUGGAUUAAGAGCUUGCUCUUAUGAAGUUAGCGGCGGACGGGUGAGUAACACGUGGGUAACCUGCCCAUAAGACUGGGAUAACUCCGGGAAACCGGGGCUAAUACCGGAUAACAUUUUGAACCGCAUGGUUCGAUAUUGAAAGGCGGCUUCGGCUGUCACUUAUGGAUGGACCCGCGUCGCAUUAGCUAGUUGGUGAGGUAACGGCUCACCAAGGCAACGAUGCGUAGCCGACCGGAGAGGGUGAGCGGCCAGCCUGGGACUGGGACACGGCCCAGACUCCUACGGGAGGCAGCAGUAGGGAAUCUUCCGCAAUGGACGAAAGUCUGACGGAGCAACGCCGCGUGAGUGAUGAAGGCUUUCGGGUCGUAAAACUCUGUUGUUAGGGAAGAACAAGUGCUAGUUGAAUAAGCUGGCACCUUGACGGUACCUAACCAGAAAGCCACGGCUAACUACGUGCCAGCCGCCGCAGUAA
rnacentral:rRNA from 1 species